AUGCGUUACCAGUAUGGGCGGCCAAUAGAAGCAGCAAGGGGGGAGGAAAUGUGCUUCCUUGGGACUGAUAUAAGAGAAGAGCUGAGGAAAGGCAUCCAAGAGAAACAGGAACAAGAGAACAUGGUUGCGAUGUUCUGGGUUCCGGUGGCUUGCUUCCUUGGGGUUCUCAUCUCAGGUUCUAGGUCCCAGUUAGUGCUAACGCAGCCGUCCUCGGUGGCUGCAUCUCUAGGAUCGACCGUGAAGAUCUCUUGCGCUAUGAACAGUGGCUACAGCAUCAGCAGCGAGCGGGUCAGAUGGUACCAGCAGAAAUCAGACGGUGCCCCUCGGUUUGUAUACCACUAUUACACCAGCAGUGACCAGGGCAGGGGUUCUGGGAUCCCGGAGAGAUUCACUUCCACCCCUGAUACUGCCAACAACCGCUGGAAUUUAGUGAUCGCAGGAGUCCAAGCUGAAGACGAGGAUGAUUAUUACUGCAGCUCAUGGGACUACAAGGCCAGUGGCGGCGGGUUCCACAGUGAUCCAUCCUGAUGGGGAACUGAGACAAAACCCUCUUGCUUGACACAGGGGGUCACGCAUCAGCAGAUGCAUCACGUGAAAUGGCAAAACCCACAAAAGCAUUUGAGAUUCUGUUCCUAUUAUAGUUACAAUGAUUUGUCUUUAUUCAUA